rnacentral:lncRNA from 1 species
CUUGGUCUGGAAGAUUCCAGUAGAGAAAGGGAGGGCCAGGGGCCUGGAGGCUGGUUCCAGGUCUGGGUGCUGGGCCUGAGAGCAUUUCCAAAGCACUGAGCCUGGGACUGAAGGUAAUUCACCAUGAGGGUUCAGCUGCUUCAUCAGCCACUCUGUAGGCAGCCAAGCCAGGAGGGCCCUCUGGGCACCUGGGCCUCUCCGUAGGAAGAGGAGCAGGGACCCACUAUCCUUUGGGUCAACAACGGCCUUAAGCAUUCUGGAGUUCAAGCCACGGGGGAGGCAACAGGAGUGCAAGUGGCCACGGUUCAGGCGCUGAUGGGCAGAG